rnacentral:lncRNA from 1 species
UUUUUUGAGAAUCCUCAAAAUUUCUCAAACUCCCAAGAUUAUUAUCCUAAUCUUGAUAAUAUUGAUAGCCAAGUUUUUGGAUCUGGUUCAAACCCUCAAUUUCCAUAUGAUCUCACUCAUGAAAAUUCCACUCAAGAAAAUGUCCACCCCACAAACACAAACACCUCCAGCGGUCCGAAAGGUUGGAAUGAUCAAGAAGAUUUGGCGCUCAU